rnacentral:tRNA from 3 species
GCGGUCGUGGUGGAAUUGGUAGACACGCAGCGUUGAGGUCGCUGUGGCUAAUUAAACGGCCUUGGAAGUUCAAGUCUUCUCGACCGCA